rnacentral:misc_RNA from 1 species
CAGACAUGCCAGGGAGCAGAGGUGCGGGACAGGUUGUAGCGCCGCUGGAAGGUUGGGAAUCAGCGUCUGCGCAUGGGCAGGCGGGUGGGCCGGGAGCGGCAGCAGCGAGCAGGGCAGGGAGCGAGCGUCUGCCAGCCUCCCUCCUCAGUAUCGGCACGAAAAUACACACACAUCCACACGCCGUCCCAACAGCAGGCUCACACGCGCACAGUCAACCCUCUCUCUUCCCUCUCCUCGACUUUUUAUUGAACCUGUGGCCACCUGUUCGUGUUCCGUGGCUCGUGGAGUGAUUGCAAAGCCAGGGGGAGGAGGCGAGUGAGGGUGUAGGGGCCUGCGGAAGGGAUGCGAGAUGCUGGGGCAAGAUGACGAGGGUCGAGGCGGUAUAUUGUGCCAGUGGAAGACAUGACAACCACUUGGAGGAGCGUGUCUGUCCCCUCCCACCUGCCGGAGAGCUAGUUCGUGUCCAGGGCAAUCUUCUCCCACCGACGGACGAGUGUUGAAAAACGGCCUCACCCCCAACCCCCACCCCCCUCGAGUGAUAUAGUCUGUAGCAGGGUGGUUUGGCAUUAGUCGUGAACACUGUGGGUCGUGUGAAGUGACUGCGUGGUGGCCGCGGGCGUGGGGCGGGAUGUAGAGUGUACCGGCGGCGGACAAUAAAGCUACGCUGCUGCCGCCCUUACGCAGAUGUGGUCCACCGUGCCCCCAGCCAUGAACGCUGCCCCUGUGGCGGAGGCUGGCGGCUGUAGUGAGUGUUGUAGUUGUAGAUGUGAUAAUUCAGACAGAACCUUGGGGACCGGCGCCCCCGAGGUGCCCAACAGCCCCGGGGGGAGGCGUCGCCCCGCCCCCCGCAGCAGGCUCACCACGGUACACCCGCCGGUAUCCUCGCUGCUGCUUUUGCUGCUGCAGCUGCUGCUAAUGACUAAUUUGAGUGUAAGCAUGACCAACCCGGAGUCCUUGCUCUCAGAACUCAGUUGCGACUUCGAGAAAGAGAACAGCUGCCGCUGGAUGUGGAAAACCGAUCUCUCCGAGAACGUGACCUUCGUGCGCACCACAGGCCGCCAGCUGGAGGAGGAGAGCUACAACCUGCCCCUGGGAGAGGUGUCCGGCGUCAACAUGGAUGCGACAGGCAACCCUGAUGGUCACUUCCUAUACCUGGGCGUGCAGAAAGACAAGGAGCUCAACAACUACACGCGACAGAUCAAGACACCGUGGCUGGAACAGGACUUCCUCGACCGUUGCCGGCUGGAGGCGCUCUUCCACCUCCCCAAGUCAGAUUCCAUGACGCAGUUUAAGAUUCUAAUCGAGAACAGCAACGUUACCAGCUACCUCAUCAUCAACAGCCACAGCAGGACCAAAAACCCCAGUACUGACUGGAACAAGAUCUCGACGCCCCUGGGCAAACCUUCGAAGCCCUUCAGGUUGUACAUCGAGGUGGUGCUCAGUAAUAAGUCACCAACACACAUCGCCAUCGACAAUAUCACACUGGUUGGCUGUUUUGACAUAAGAACUCCCAAAGUAUGUCACGGUAUGAACUGUCGCAACGGGGAGUGUAUAGACGAAGAUUCCUACUGCGACAUUACCAGAGAUUGUGUGGACGGCGAGGACGAGAAGGGCUGUGAGAAUCAUCCUUUGGGGUCGAGAUGUGACUUCGAGGAGGACUGGUGUGGCUGGAAGAACCUCGAGGACGACCAGAUGGACUUCAAGAGACACAGAGGCACCACGAACGACGAACACACGGGGCCCAGCAGCGAUCACACCCACAAGAACGACUCCGGUUACUACAUGCUGAGUGAACUGCCGCGGAAGGGGGAGCUGGGUGAACACGGCGUGCUGGAGUCCCCGCUCUUCCCGCAGCCACCGUGUUAUCAUAGCAACCUCGAGUCCCGCUACGUCGACUCCUGCAAGCUGCGUCUUUACUACCACAAACUCGGGACGCACCAGGGAACUAUGAUCGUGAGGGUUGUGGAAUUCAACAUGAUGGACAAACUGGUCAAUCAGCACGUCAUCUCCAACAUUCACGGACAGAAGGGUGACAAAUGGCAUCGUCUCACCGUUAGUCUUCCUCAUAACAUACGCAACAGCUAUCGCAUCCGGGUGAGCAACGUACGCGGCACCAGGUAUCGUGGUGACCUGGGCAUCGACGACAUAUCUCUCUCGCCGCAGUGCUUUGGCAGACGUGUGGACCCUCAGGAGAUCCGCAAGUGUCCGCCAGUCAACACAAGCACCCCUCCGCCAACGGAACCGCCUACUACUUACAUCCCUCCCAGUGGCGUAGUGAUGGUGACAACGUGCGGCAAAACAGGGUACCGGGGACCAUCUCAGGAGGAAUGCAAGAAGGAGUACGAGCAAGGACCCCACAACGCCCCGAGAGUGCCAUCCUCCACCUCUCUGCCCGGCACUCAGAUCUGGAAGGUGCCCCGGGAUGAUUACUACACGAUCGUGGCCAAGGGAGCAAGCGGCGGCACGGGCAUUCAGACCCAGAUCCUGACCACACGCGGGGCUGUGGCUCGGGGCACCUUCUACCUGACGGAGGGCACUGAGCUGUACAUCUUGGUGGGGCAGGAAGGACGCUCUGCCUGUGAGGACGUGUUAAACCAGACUCGGGAGCAGCUUCAGUCGUGCACCUCCAAGAGAGACCUGCCUGACGUGAACCUGAACAAACUGUCACACCUGGACAUGGUGAAGCACAAAAUACACUCGUCCUUCAAAGGGGGAGGCGGAGGUGGCGGCGGUGCUUCCUUCGUCUUCAAGAUGGAGAAGGAACAGCCGACAGCCCUGGUGGUGGCGGGAGGCGGGGGAGGCCUAGCAUGGUCCUUGAGUGACGUCACCUUCCGACACCACGGCAGAGGAAUGAACGCCUCCCUACCAGAGAGUCACGGCCACUUCUUCUACAAUGGAACGUCCUCAAGCUUUCACGCUGGUCCCGGGGGCGGCUGGGAAGGGAGCAGGAACAAGGAGAUCGAAGGACAGUCCCUCGUCAACGGUGGUCUCGGAGGGAAGCCUUGCGAGGAUUUGGGCAGCUCCUGGAUUACCUAUGGCGGCUUUGGUGGUGGUGGCGGCGGCUGUCUGGCUGGCGGGGGCGGCGGCGGUUACACAGGAGGGAACGCGUACUCCGGCACGAGGCAACACGGCGAGGGAGGCUACAGCUACACCUCGGGACAGUAUGGCGAUGUGAGGCCCGCGGCACAUUCCGGCGGCGGCAUUGUGUUCAUCAUCCCGGCACGCAGGGGGGAAUGUCGGUGUGACUACAAGUGUGUGCCGCUGGACGAGUACCUUCGAGAGACGCAGUGCAUAUGCAAGGAUGGCUGGAAGCUGGACCUCAAUGGACACUCCUGCAAGCCGGGCCCCGUGGUGAAGAUGGAACAAACCAUCUACAUUGGAGCCGUUAUCUUCAUCAUCAUCAUCGUCGUCAUCGCAUCAGGCACAACCAUCUAUUGCUAUCACCGGUACCAGAGGAAAAAGUUCGACCUCGCGCAACAGUUGAAAUGCGAGAGAGGCCACGACGUUCAACUGGACAGACUGCGUCCCAUCCAAGGCGGCGGCAUGGUCACGGAAUACAACCCUAAUUAUGAGUUUGGAGGCGGCACCUACACGAUAAAGGACCUCAAGGACAUCCCGAGAACCAACCUUACCCUCGUCAAGGCGUUGGGCCAGGGCGCCUUCGGGGAGGUGUUCCAAGGGUACCUCAAGAACUACGCCGGAGACUCAGUGGAGAUGCCCGUGGCUGUCAAGACGCUGCCGGAGAUGUCAAGCAACCAAGCAGAGAUGGACUUCUUGAUGGAGGCGCUGAUCAUGUCGAAGUUUGCUCAUCCCAACAUUGUACACUUCAUUGGUGUGUGUUUCGACAAGCUACCUCGCUUCAUCGUCCUGGAGCUGCUCUCUGGCGGCGACCUCAAGAGUUUCCUGCGAGAAGCGAGGCCCAAACCGGACCGUCCCUCGGCACUCACAAUGAGGGAUUUGCUCUCGUGUGCUACUGACGUGGCGAAGGGCUGCGAGUACCUGGAGGGCAACCACUUCAUCCACAGAGACAUCGCCGCCAGAAAUUGUCUCCUCACAACGAAAGGCCCUGGCAGAGUGGUCAAGAUCGCUGACUUCGGAAUGGCCAGGGACAUUUACAGGAAUGACUACUACAGGAAAGGCGGGAAGGCGAUGCUACCAGUGAAGUGGAUGCCCCCCGAAGCCUUCCUGGACGGGAUAUUUACCUCAAAAACCGACGUAUGGUCCUUCGGCGUGUUGCUGUGGGAAGUCAUGUCGUUGGGGUACAUGCCUUACCCGGGGCGAGGCAACCAGGAGGUGAUGCAGUUGGUCACGAACGGCGGACGGCUGGAGCCCCCGACCAACUGCCCGUCACCUGUGUACCGCAUCAUGACCCAGUGCUGGCAUCCCAUUCCUGACGAGCGGCCGACUUUCACUACGAUACUGGAGCGCCUCGGCUACUGCAUACAGUUGAGGACGCAGUGUGUGUUGCGGCCAUGUUCCUGGGAGCCGCGACCCCCCCUGUCCCCGCCAGUUUGGACUGCCGCUUCUACCACUGACACCAUCCGUCUGUCCCUCCUGCAGGACCCUGAUGUGGUGAGUCACGCCCUGCCGGUGUUCCAGCGGCCACCGUCUGCCGAGCGGGAUGCCACAGUUAUGCGGCCGCUGGACAACGACGCCUGUCUCACUGUUUCCCGCCGCUCCGAUGAGCCGCAGAGCCCGGCCUCCACCGACUAUUUGAUUCCUUUGCCCUCAUCCUACUCCCUGUCCACUGUGCGCUCUGAGCUCAACUCCACGCCCUCCAUCGACUCGGGCGCGGACUGCUGCCAAAUGGAACGGCUGCUGGAUCCCGCCCCGCCGCCCCCUCCUCCUCCUGCAUGGGAGACCACAAGCUUCACCAACGAACCACCAGCCUCCCACAACCACCAGCGCUCCAAGCCCGUGCCCCAGCCCUCCCGCACACCCUCACACUCAUCCUCCAGAAUGGCAGAGUCACAAUCGACGCAGCCGCUGCUCAAAAACUCCCCACCAGGGUCCCCGCGGUCCCAAGAUCCCCGUGAGAGGCUCAUGAGGCCUGGAGAGCCUGCCCCUGUUCCCUCCUCAGCACCCGCUCCUAUGAUGUCCAUGGCAGGCGUGCCGCCCACCCGGGACAGACCCCGCUCCCACCACCACCACCACUCUCACUGCUACAAUAACAGUGGAAGCAGCAACAACAGUAGCAGCAGCACCAGCAAUAGCAGUAGCAGUAACAGCAGCAACAGCAGCGCCAGCACCCUGCCCCUGGACCCCACAGCGCUGCCCUGCAUCCCUCCCCCGUUGCAGUAUGUCAACGUGGACGUGCAGUCACGUGGCUCUGAUUACGACCACGAGCCGUACAUCAUCCACGAGACUCGAGAACACCGUGAAAUAUCGUGCUAGAGUGCUGCCCCCACCCUUGCCAGCGUCCGUGUUGGAUGUACCCGAGGCGGUCGCGGCGCUGCGCUGCAGAAACACUAGGGUUGCUCAAACCUUGCGCCACAUACAGUGAAGUACUGACACGAUCACAGCCAUACGCUGCUGUGUGCGCCGCACCUGCAGCACCCGGUGAGACAGGACGCGGGCGGCCAGGGUGGAGUCCCUCGCAGUGGACCAAGGAAAAUGAAACGAGGAUGUUUGGAUGUGCGUACCGUGGUGUGAGUCCGUCGCUGUGCCAAAGUGCGAGACAAACAGUAUUAGUGUUUUGCCGAAGCGAGUAUCUUUUUAUAUACGAGAUGUGGCCGGCUGGCCGCAGCGCCGCAGCGCCGCAGCCCAGAGCAGCGCUCUGGAAGGACAAUGCUGCAUCCAGAGGCGAUUCGCCGCUACCACCGCCGCCGCUUGGCCGAGAGGUACGAGGUGUUGUAGUGGUGGCGAGGUCGCUCCUCGACGUGUGAUGUUAGCAGUAAGACAGCUCAAGGGCCACGGCGAUGCUCACGGCGUGUGUGAAAAAACAUUUCCUAUUAUGCUUGUCAGGGUUGGCGUCUGUGUGACUGGUGCGACGCCCUCCCCUGCCACCACCCUGCCACCGACUUUUUCCUGCCAUCCUUACAGACACCACCACCACCACCACCAUCUUCCUUUCUGUCUUGUCCCGUGCCAUAUCCUUCAUGGCUACCCUGCUACCAAUCCUGCCUCCCUGCCUCCCUGCCAUGCUGCCACCACCUUGCGCAGUGUGGCUCCAAUUCCCUGUGAGUAUAAGCACGUGAUCUUGGUUGUGGUUGCAUGAUGGUGGUAGUGGGCGGGCCUCGCACCGCGCACCACCAGGCUACUGUGCUCCUGUGCGCGUGACACACACACACACACACACACACACACACACACACACACACACACACACACACACGAGUUUAACAGUACAUUCAUCCUAGUAAACUAAAUAAUAUUAAAAAAAAACAAAGCAGGGUAUCAUUAAGUACUACAUAAGUGCUUGACCAGUACUGUUGUGUGUACUCCUGUGUGGCCGUAGCUCGCGUACUCUUCACACCCUCUCGACAAAUACCACAGCACGAUUUGCAAUAUAUAUAUAUAU